AACGAACGCUGGCGGCAGGCCUAACACAUGCAAGUCGAGCGCGCACUUCGGGGUGAGCGGCGGACGGGGGAGUAACGCGUGGGAACGUGCCCUUUUCUACGGAAUAGCCCUGGGAAACUGAGAGCAAUACCGUAUACGCCCUUUGGGGGAAAGAUUUAUCGGAAAAGGAUCGGCGCGCGUUGGAUUAGGUAGUUGGUGGGGUUAUGGCCUACCAAGCCUACGAUCCAUAGCUGGUUUGAGAGGAUGAUCAGCCACACUGGGACUGAGACACGGCCCAGACUCCUACGGGAUGCAGCAAUGGGGGAUCUUAGACAAUGGGGGCAACCCUGAACUAGCCAUGCCGCGUGAGUGAUGAAGGCCUUAGAGUUGUAAAGCUCUUUCAGCUAGGCAGAUAAUGACGGUACCAGCAGAAGAAGCCCCGGCUAACUCCGUG
rnacentral:rRNA from 1 species